ACCUGGAAACUUAGUGUGAGAAACUACUAGUGGAUCCUGUGGGUCAGGAAUUUGGAGACUGCAUGGUGGGGAUGGCUCCUCUUUGCUCUACCAUGUCUGAGGCCCAAGCUGGGACAUCUGACUGGUGGUAAUUCAUUCUUACAUCUUGACAGGUAUGUGGGUUGUCAACUGGGUCCUCAGUUCCUCUCCGGAUGGCUAGUUGGACUUCCUCACAGCAUGGUGGCUGGGUUCCCAGGAUGAGUCCUCAAAGAGCCCGAAGGAAGCUACAUGCUAUUUAUGACCUCACCUUGGCCUCCCCACAGCAUCUCCGCUGCCAGGCUCUCCUCCACUCUACAGUUAGCUUUAGGAAUGCUUCACAUGCACCAUGUCUAGUUGACUGUGCGUCUCGCAGCUUCGUUGUGACAUGGGAAAGCUUGGCACUGCCAUUCCUGCUUUGCAGCUGAGACUCAUGCAUGUUAAAGAACUUGCUUACUGUUCUAACAAUUGAGAAACGUAAGCCAGAUCCCAGUCCUUCAUUUGCAUACUCCAGUUCCAGUGCUUUUAUGUCUUCAUUAUUUUCCAUUCAUUACACAUUUAUAUUUCCUACCAUUUCCAGGAACUGUAUUAGGCACAGUGAAAUGAAAACUGAUUAAGACGCAGUUUCAUCUUUGUAAUAGCUGGCAUUCUAGUGAGAUGAAAGACUGGAGACUUGAUUGGCAUGAUAUCACCUGCCAGAUGCUGGAAUGGCGACGUGGACACUUGGAUGGAAUCGCUUGUGCUGCUUUGGGCUGUGGGGGAAACAGGGAGCAUCACUGAGUGGGUCUGAAGCAUCUCAGUGGAUGAGUAAAUGUGUUUGGGCAAACGGAAGUGGAAGGAGGUUUAAACCUACAGCAUUUACAAAGCAACUGGUAUUUGAUGGCCAGUAAGAAAGGCAAUGUGUUAGGAUCAGAGGAAUGCUCAGGAAGAUGGAGGAGAUGAGAAAAAGAAUAGAUAAUUCGCCCUGAUUUGAGGUGAGCCAUGUCCAGUGCAUUUAAGGCCUUGGAAUUUACCCCAUAAAUCAGCGUUUCUCAAACUGAGCUGUGUGGAAUACUGCAGACCACCCAUGGAUCUACUCUCAGAAAUCUGUGCGCUCUUUCCAGUUUUUAAUACCGGUGAUAUUUUAAAAUGAAGUAUUACAAGUCUAUUCUGCAUCAUCUGGAGAGCCAGCUCAGACCAAGGGGACAGGAGACCACACUCACCUGAUUCCAGCGCCAUAGGCAUUUUCUAUUGAGGAUUGCUUCCAUGCCAAGGAAGGCACAGUGAUGUCAUGAAGAGGCUUCACAGUAGUUUGAAAGGAGAAGAGGAGGGUGAAAAUAAAGUCAUCACCUUGAACAAGGUGAUCAGGCUGUCGGCAUCCAUAGAACUCAUCUCAUUUGUCAUGUCGUAGUCACGUGAAUGGAUGUUCUUGGCACAGCCUGUCUUGUCUUGUUACCUCAUAAUGGUUUAUUAGCAGAAAGUGUUGGAGAAACUAUUGAAGAAUUUUUUAUUUUACUUGCAGAAAUAAUUAUCUUAGAAAUCUAAUGUAGAUUUAAGUAACAGCAAAACGGCUAUUGUAUUUUCAAGUGAACAAGUCAACUUGACUAAUUUAUCAACUAACAUUUCAAUAAAAGUGAUUUUUGAGGAUGGGUGACUGGCAUGUUUGGCUAACUAUGAGAUGUGAUUGUUGAAAACUAAUGAACAAAACCUUCAAGAGCUUAUUAUUCUUUCGUUUACCAAGCAUUCUUAAUGGUAUUAUUAUUAACAAAUAAAGCUAAACAUUAAAUAUAGAAUUGGACCUGAAGCCACAUUUUUAUCCUUAUUAUCAGUCAUUUAGAAUAAAACAACAUCAUCG
rnacentral:lncRNA from 1 species